GGAGCCGUAGCGAAAGCGAGUUUUAACUGAGCGUUCAGUUACUUGACGUAGACCCGAAACCGGGCGACCUACCCAUGAGCAGGAUGAAGCGAAAGUAAAAUUUCGUGGAGGUCCGAACCCACGAGCGUUGAAAAGCUCGGGGAUGACUUGUGGGUAGCGGUGAAAUUCCAAUCGAGCCCGGAGAUAGCUGGUUCUCCCCGAAAUAGCUUUAGGGCUAGCCUCAAGGUGAGAGAUACGGAGGUAGAGCACUGAAUGUCCUAGGGGGUAUUGCACCUACCGAAGACUAUCAAACUCCGAAUGCCGUCAUCUUAUACUUGGGAGUCAGACUGUGGGUGAUAAGAUUCAUAGUCGAAAGGGCAACAGCCCAGAUCGUCAGCUAAGGUCCCUAAAUGUAAGUUAAGUGGUAAAGGAUGUGGGAUUGCACAGACAACCAGGAUGUUGGCUUAGAAGCAGCCACUCAUUCAAAGAGUGCGUAAUAGCUCACUGGUCGAGUGAUCCUGCGCCGAAGAUUUCCGGGGCUAAAACUUACUACCGAAGCUACGGCAUCAGUAAUGAUGGGUAGGGGAGCUUCCCAUACGGGUUGAAGCAUGACCGUAAGGACAUGUGGACAGUAUGGGAGUGAGAAUGUUGGCAUGAGUAGCGAGAUGUGGGUGAGAAUCCCACAGGCCGUAAACCCAAGGUUUCCAGGGGAAGGUUCGUCCGCCCUGGGUUAGUCGGGACCUAAGCUGAGGCCGAAAGGCGUAGGUGAUGGACAACAGGUUGAUAUUCCUGUAC
rnacentral:rRNA from 1 species